rnacentral:rRNA from 1 species
AGAGUUUGAUCCUGGCUCAGGAUGAACGCUAGCGGCAGGCUUAAUACAUGCAAGUCGUGGGGCAGCAGGGGUGUAGCAAUACAUUCGCUGGCGACCGGCAAACGGGUGCGGAACACGUACACAACCUUCCUCUAAGUGGGGGAUAGCCCGGGGAAACCCGGAUUAAUACCCCGUAACAUAAUGAAGUGGCAUCACUUUAUUAUUAUAGCAGCAAUGCGCUAAGAGAUGGGUGUGCGGCUGAUUAGGUAGUUGGCGGGGUAACGGCCCACCAAGCCUACGAUCAGUAACUGGUGUGAGAGCACGACCAGUCACACGGGCACUGAGACACGGGCCCGACUCCUACGGGAGGCAGCAGUAAGGAAUAUUGGUCAAUGGACGCAAGUCUGAACCAGCCAUGCCGCGUGGAGGAUGAAGGUCCUCUGGAUUGUAAACUUCUUUUAUCUGGGAAGAAACCCAUGGAUUCUUCUGUGGUUGACGGUACCAGAUGAAUAAGCACCGGCUAACUCCGUGCCAGCAGCCGCGGUAAUACGGAGGGUGCAAGCGUUAUCCGGAUUCACUGGGUUUAAAGGGUGCGUAGGCGGACAGGUAAGUCAGUGGUG